ACUCCUACGGGAGGCAUCGGUGGGGAAUUUUCCGCAAUGGGCGCAAGCCUGACGGAGCAACGCCGCGUGAGGGAUGAAGGCCUCUGGGCUGUAAACCUCUUUUAUCAAGGAAGAAGAUCUGACGGUACUUGAUGAAUAAGCCACGGCUAAUUCCGUGCCAGCAGCCGCGGUAAUAC
rnacentral:rRNA from 1 species